AUUCAUCUGACGAGUCGAAAAUAAGACCCAACACACGUGUUUUGGAU
rnacentral:hammerhead_ribozyme from 1 species